UCCAUGUUGAGAAAAGAACAUUGAAAUGUUUACAAAAUAUGAACAGUACAAACAUUCAAUAUUUUGUAACUUUACAUAACACUCGCUCAAUAUAGAUUGUGCAUCUAUAUUUAAACUUAGAAUGGGUCCACUCAUAAAUAUUAUUUAUAUCACCUAGACAACACAAUAUGAAUUGGUUUAGUAAGUAAUAAAGGGAUAAUGGGGACAUAAGAAGAUAGCUGUUGAUACCUUUCAACAUCAUGUCAAUAUUCUACAUCUUCCAUGCAGCAAUAAUGCAUUAUAGUGUUUAUGUUGAGCAUAAGGCAGUGGGGCUAUUAGCCAUUUGCUGAAGUUACCCACAUGAUCUGAAUCCACUUCAGAAGUUAUUUGGUUUGAUGGUUGUCUCAGUGAUCACACAUAUAAUAAUUCCUUGGAGUUCCUUCCAAUUCACCACCUACUAUGUACUUCUGCACACAAAAAACAUGGUAAGCAUGAAAAGACAUGAGAAAGAAAGAAAAGAUUAAACAUCAAGGAUAAUAGACUAACAUAACUGCUACAUCACUUAUCUUAUUUUUAAUUCAGUAAUUUUGGUACAAAACAUUGGUGGAUCAACCUUAGUUCAUCAAAAGUAAUUGUCCUAUUGUUAAGAAGUGCCAAGGUAUUCGAUACUUUCUCUAUUAAGCCCAUAAUAUUUUCCUUUGCGCUGCAAUAACCUGAAUAUAGCAUAAGAAUUGAGAAAAACUAUGAUGAAAUGUACCCCUCUGCCUAUUGUUAAGGAACAUAGGUAGUAGAUCCUAGUGUCAAGCAAGAAUAAAAAAUAACCAAAGCUUGGGAGGGACUCUCUUUAAAUUAGACGCAACAUCAUUGGCAUAAGAAAGGUUAAGUUUUAUCAUCAAAUUGUGGUCCGACUGUCAGGAAGAAGAAGAAAAGAGAUCCAUAAGUUUGUGUGGAACUGCCCUUAAAUUAGACAUGUUCCUCUUGUUUGUUUUCAAUCAUUUAACAAAAACUUGGCAAGUCACGUCAUUGCAUCAAGUUCCAUUCGACUAACUGAAAUAAAAAUUAUUAAGCAUGAUCCGUUUACCAGUUGAACUGUUAGAAUGAAUAAUCAAACCAUGCUAACAUCAAUAACAAAAUAAAAGCAUAGUGGUGAUUUUCGUACCAGGAAAAAAUUACCAUGGAGAAUAAUUUUGGUUGUUUGUCUUGUCGAUCAACCAACCAUGAAGUUAUGCCAAUUUAAGAGGAGAGAAUGGAACUAAGUCAAAAUGUAGUCAUUAGAUUUCAAAAAGAACAUGAUCCCUUUAUUUUAUCAUUUAGUUAAAUAUAUGAUUUGGAGGAAUUUAAGCCUCUCAGCACUGUGAGUACCAGGAAUAUAAAAAUAUGCAUCUCAUUAGUUAUUUGCCAACAUACAUUUGUAUGUGUAGAUAGUUGUGACAAUAUGAAGGUUCUAGUACUCGUCUUAAUGGUCUAGACUCUGGAAUAUCUCAAGCUAAGAGGGAAGGUAGGCAAAUACUCUACUUUCAGCGGUAAGCAUAUAUUAGGAAUUUAUAAAAAAGCAUAUAUUAGAAAAUCAAAGCUACUCUGCAUAGAAGUAACCUACUUUCUUCGUGGACAAUCCGGACAUAGGUGCCAUCACACGAACACAUAUAUGAGAAAAUCAUAUUCUGUCUAGUAGUAAACUACUUUCCUUGUGGACAUGGUGCCCAUCAUACGAAGACACAACUACGUACAAAUCAAUAGCAACAUGUGGUACUAUGCUUAUUUCUUAAGCGAGGAGAAGGUCGACCAUAUCAUCCCAAUAGUAGUUCUAGUAAGCUUACAAAAGAGAAACCAAACAGAGAAGAACACCGCAAGUUAGGGACAACAAUAGAAAAUACAACACAAGUACACAAGCAUGACAAAAAUGAUCUACCAAUGAGUUACCUGAGCCUCAAAGUGGUUGCUACCCUAACUUUAUCGACAACUCCAAGAUGACCUGAAAGAGGCAAUUCAUGAUUAGAUGUUGUGCAGGCAGGGUAAGAGAGGAUGACACAGCAGAGGGGAAGAGAGGAGUUUCUACUCGGUGGUGUUUAGAGGUAGGGGAGAGGAGAUGGAGGUGGGUGUCACUCACGUGCAUCAGAUGAUAGUGAGGCCGAGGGCGGCGAGACCACGUCACGGGGAGGGGUGCAGGGAGUCCAGGUCGAAGAAGAUGCAAUCGAGGUCGCCGGAGAGUCGGAGAUUUGGAUUCGAUCGGUGUCGAAAUGAAUCAAGCGCGGAAAACCGACGACGAGAGGGGC
rnacentral:lncRNA from 1 species